UGUGUGUGUUUGGUAUGAGACUUGAUGUAUUUUAUAUUAAAUGUGUUAUCAUUUUUUAUUGGUCUAAACAGUGGUGAAAGCCAGCACAGUCAACUACGGUAUCAACAGACGCCUCUGAUUUACCAAGCCUCCCCAUACUACGUCACCCAGCCCACGUUCGCAACCGUCCCCGCCCACUCCCCCACAGCCACCCAGCCAUUCAUCGACUACACCUACGCCGCGCACCAACAGUUCAACCAGGCUGGAACCUUCGGUGAGCAGUUCAGCUACGCCAGCACGCCCCACGGCUUUGUCACGCCUGCCUACAACCUAGCGGCCGUCCAGUCAACCGCCUCGCUUCCCACGGCCGUCAACCAGGCGGCGCAGUUCUCGCAGUUCCAGGCGGCACAGCCCACAGUCGCAGCAGAUCAUACAUGUUUGCAAUAACUAUGAUCCAAUGCCACCGAGAUCGCCUAUCUAGAUUCUUUCUUUUUAUUUUUUUUGUUUGGAAGGGAUUUCUCUUCUUAGAUUUCGAUGGAAUCCUUUUCGACCGGAGGACAUUUGGUUCUGAAAGCAUCUUUCAAUUCUGUUAUUAGCCACAUUCACAGGUUCCGUUGAUGAACUGCAGAAGAUGGCAGGCAGUGCCACGGCAAGGCUCUCUACUGUUCUAUCAUCUGGGUCACUCAUGAGGAACGUGACCCAUUGAGAGUUAAACCUUUCCCGUUGAUCGUCUAUCCGUGUCGUCCAUCUUCAUAGAGAUGCGUAGGAGACGCGUGAGACGAGAAUGUACUGCCAUAUUGCACUAUUAUCCAACGUGUAGCAUUCACACAUUGUACAGAGAAAUUAUGACAAGUGAGCUUGUUGAAAAAGAAAAUGUUUCGUGAUUUUGUCUCUAUGUUCUUUGUCAGUGCACCUAAUGUCUUAUGUAUUCAUUUUAUACAGUUAAACACUGUCUUAUAUCGGUAGCUAUUUAAACAUAUGCCUUCAUUUUUCCGUUGUCACUUGUCACGUUGAAUUUAAUUUUGCGUUUAGUUUCUUCGUGGAGAUUGUUCAUUGCGAAGUCUGAAAACCUCUGUCUGUAUUUUCCCAUCUCUAAAACGGGUUCCUUGUGCACGCUGACAUGUAUGCUUGUUCUAGAAAUGACUUCGCUGUGAGUGAGGUCCUGCCUGACAUAGCAUCAGUCAAAUACUUCUUCAAAUAAAUUGUAUUCACUACCCAGUAUUUCUGAUGAAGUAUAAUUUUUCAAAUCAUCCCCAAUUACUAGGCAAAACGUGGCUCAAUCUAUUCAGAAUUGUGAUGAAAAGAAGAGGAGGUUUAAAUAUGGAUGUAGGAAAUUUAGCCAGCAUAUUUACUAAUCAUUGCAUUGUAUUAUGUACUUAACGGUCACUUAUAUUAUGUCACCUUGAAUACACUUAUUUAUUUGCGUGACGAAUCGUAAUACUCCGUCCAGCUGAUGAUAAAUUGUAAUUUAAGAAAAAAACAUGAUUUUUUUUAAUGAAAUGUGCAAGCAUGCCAAAAUCGCGGCUGAUUUGGAGUUGAAAUUCGUGCUAAAAUAUCUGCUUUCAGAAAAAAAGCAAAGCAAAAUGCAAUGUGUAUUUUUUUUAUUGUUCUUGGCAUAUAAUGCAAGACACUAGAGUAUAUUUAUCACCCGUAUUUCUUUAGUAGUUCAUAUAUCACCCAGUUAGUCUCCUUUUCUAUUUUAUAUAUGGCCUCAAGAAUAAUCACCUUUAGCACCUAUCUUAAUUGGUAUCGCAGCUCAAUGUUGGAACAAAACAUCUGGGUUUCCCUCAUGUAACUCCACCUACAUGCUGCAUAUGUAUGACUAUGCUAAUGAGUAACCAAAACAGGUAUUCUCUUAUUAACCUGUACUUUUAGCUCAAGUGCGCUCACACUUGCUCACAGGGAAAAAUAACUAAAUGACUUUGAAGUACUUUAGCAAAUAUAAAAGUGGCAUUGAAUUGCCUUUACUUUAAAAAUGAGGCAUUCAUCUAUCCUUUGUUUUAGAAGGGACGUAAACUGUACUAAGAACAGCAUUCAGAGAAAAAAUGAGAGGGGACCGAAGUAUGAUGGUUGGUAGGGGACGGGACUCCAAGUCGGGGGAGUACAUGCUAUGUAAUGCUAUGUAGCAAUGUCAUGCGAUUUCUUUUAUUGGAUAAUCCUCCCAAGUAGUUUCCAGAUUAAAGGAUUAAGGCCUUAAUCUCUGGUCCCCCUCCUACCCCGGAUCAAAGAGCAAGUGACGGGUUAACGAUGGAAAUUGACAAAUCGUGACGUUUCACCCCCUUUUACACCUCCGGCUGUUGAAAGUUGCUGUCGCGGAUUUCACCAAGCCUCGCUCAUUUUGUUUUCCCCCCUUGAUCAUGAAAUCUUUAGGGGUGGUGAAUUUUUUGCCGUUUUCUGGUGGUAUCCAAGAGUCUGUUGGGAUAAAGGUGUUGAUUACAUACUUGACAUGACUGUGAGGUGUAGAAAUGGUGAUAUGGGAACAAGAAUAACAAACAUGGGUUACAAUGUUGCUACAAGUAUGGCCCCUUGCUCGCCUCAUCCCCUCUGCGACAUUAAAUUCAACUCUAAGGAAAUUUUCCUUCAUAUGAAAAUUCAAGACCACUUUCAUCUUAAUACUUUCCCCUUCACUUUACCUCACCUCCUAGGCUUUUCUUCCAUUUCUUUUCCUUAGAAUCCUCCUUACUUUUGUAAAUGAAAAGGAUACCAAUUGUGGUAUGGCAUAGUACUACUGGUCUUGAUUUAUGACAAUUCACAAAAGUACUUAUUGAAAUAUUUUUUAUUUGAUUUUAGAGUACUACCAAUGAAAUUCUGUAAAGUGUAGUAAGGGUCAGGAUUACUAUAUCCUAUUGGAUAACAAUUUAAGGUAUCAUUUUUUUUCUCGGCUUAAGUCAAGACCCCUCUAGCAGUAAUGCUCCAAACGUUAACAAUGUCUAUAUAGGACUAUGCAGAACUUCGGGAGUAAAAGCACAUGCUCUCAUAAUUAUGUCACAGAUAUUAAAGUGAAAAAUAAACUGCCCGAUCUGCUGAAUUAUCUAUAUUUCUGUGUGAAAUAUGAAAAUUAAAGUAAUGUCUUGAAAAUGUCUUUUUUCUGUCCUGUGAUAUCAUGUUCUUACAUGUAUAUGUUUUCCGUUCUUCGGUCGGUGCACUAUUCUUGUGUCUGUGCAUUUUAUGUAUAGCAGAGAAUAACUUAUAUGAAUGUUUUAUUGACAUGAAUCUGUAUUAUCGUUAUUACAGAGAUUUACAUGUAGUACAUGUUUAUGUCAAAAUAAGGGUGAAAACUUGUAAAUGCUGAGGACAAAAUUGUUUAGAAAACAAAUCACUUAUGAUGAAAAUUCAUUGUAUUAUUAUUAUUAUUACUAUUAUGGAUAUCUAUUUGGUAUGAUUAAUUCUCAUUUCAUAUUUAAUAUUCAAGCAUUAUGUGUAUCAAUAUUAUUAUUACAUGUCAAGAACUAUGAGUAGUGUAUAUAAAUAAGGUCAAUGGUUUUAUAUUAAACUAUGUAGAUAUUCAAAAUGCAAAAAUUAGAGUAGUUUUAGAGCAUAUCUAGUUGUAAUAGAUAUUGUACAAGUAAUAUAUAUAAAGGUAUACUUGAUAUAAGUAUUUGGAAUAUAUGCCAUGGGGUUUUUCUUGUGGAGCUUGCUUCGAGAUUGUAUGAUAUUGCAUUUCUGCACAGUCUUCAUAGCUCAAUUUCCUAUGUAAAUGUAUAAAAGAGCUGUGCUAUAAAUUAUUCUUCAAUCACUUUGACUAAUCAAAAUUCACUCAUAUAAAGUACCAACCGGAAAAUUCAAACAUUGAUCAAAAUGAAAGAGAAAAAAAUAUUCAUUCGACUGUAGCUAUCAAAGGCUUAUCAAUUAUUAUUUAGAGUACAUGUACUUACGAUGCAUCAAAUGAUGAAAACAAAAUUGAAUGACGCAGGCUUGUUCUGUACUCUGAUUUCAUAAGCAGUCUUGUAAUUCGAAUGCUUUCAGUGCAGUCAUAAAAAAAAAAUUGUCCAGAGUUAAGCUGUUUUUUUAUACCAUAAAAAAAGAGGGAAGAAGAAAUAUUCGAGUAGCUGACGAUCUUUCAAUCAUUUCUUUGUAUAACGAAGGGCUGCCUUGGUCUAUGUUGGUCAAAGAAUACUAGUUAAGAUAUAGUAGUCCUAGAAUGUUAGGUUAGCAACAACAAAAAAGAACUGUGCAUUAAUUGACAAGCUGUUAAAUUGUUUUAUAUAUAUGUCGAGUAAAGUUAUAAUGAACAAAAUGUCUUGUACAAAUAGUUAGCUUAACAAGGAUAUAAGGGGUAGAUAUAGGUAGUCAUCAGUGGUUAUAUUUGUAAUAUUUCCUAUUCUACAUAGGGAUAUUUACAAAAGACUUGUCAUCAGACAAACUAGUGUCUUUCCAAGACAGAAUAGCAAUUAAUGUAAAUUGUAUUUAAGUACUAAGCAUAGGCCAAUUUCAAUAUUAUUAAUUGAUUUCAUUUUGAUUCUAUUUUAAUUCUAUUAUUUCAUGUCAAUUAUGUAUUAUUUAAUCAUGUAAUGUCAUGCCUAGUGCAUUUAUGUAAAAUUAUUUUUAGAAAAUAUUCUUUUAAAAGAGGAUUUAAUAACCUGCAGACAUCCCAAUAAAUACCCAUUUUCUUCAUUUAGUCAUUAUUUGACUUUUUUUGAAGAAAACCGUUUGAUAAAAAAAUAAAUCAAGAUUCUAACACUCAUUCACAGCGAACAAAAUAUUUUACGUAAUAAUGAAAGCUAGCUGUUUAUGUAUUUAUCAAAAGCAAUAAAAAGACCUUUGACAAAGGUAGGAUAUUUGAGGGAAUAAAUAUGACAAUCUUUAUAAAAUUGCUUUUAUUUUUCCUUUGUACAGAAUAGUUCUCUCUUUAUCUUUCAUUUUAUACCAAUGUAAUCAUUUUUAUUUUUUUCUUCCGAUUUUUGAAAAAUUCUGUAGCCCACUUUGUCAUCUGUUUUUUGCGUAGUGUCGGUAAUGAACAAAAAGAGAAGCAAAUAACCGCUGUAAUGUACGUUACCACAAUGGCCUAUGCAAUUCAACAUGUCUUCCAGUUAUACUACUACAUGUACUGUAAAUUAGCAUCGUAUUUAUAAUCAUAGCUCUUUUUUUUCACUGUUCAUAUUUGACGGGGAUGUUCUGAUUGCCAGGUGUAUUCAUGUCUCCACCUCAUAUGGCACAUGUUCAACAUUGUAUGGAACAGUGUUGUCGCAAGAGGAACUGGAAACUGAGGGUAAUGUGAACAUGCCCCAUGUAGGAGAAAGCAUUUAUGAAAGAAAUGGGGGAAAAUGGAAGAAAAAAAAAUAUUACCAUGUAUAUUCAGGGUAGGUUAUCUGUUAAGCCACCAUGUAUGUCAUAGCUUGGCACGAAUAUAGUAAAUGUAAAAUUAAGAAAAAAGAAAAAAAUAUGACAUCGCCAAUAAAUUACAAGGAAAAAUAUGGAA